UUUUUAUCACACGUCAGCUUCGCUUAUAGCCUCACAUUCUGUUUUCCCUCUUAAUGCCCAAAUUAAGUAUAGAGCAUACUAGAAUUUUACAUGUACAAUGCACAUGAGCAUUAUAUAAAGUGUUUGAAAAUCUUUAAUCAUUUAACAUAGAAUUUUUAGGUAUCAUAAAAUAAAAUUUAUCUUUGGUACCACAAUUAUUUGAUUAGGGUAAACAAAAUUAUUUUACAAACUUUUGUAAAAGACGGUCAUACUUGUAAGACCGCCUUGCUGUCACGAGGUUGUCAACGCAGCACCAUGUCACAAGGUUGUCAACACAGCACCAUGUCAUGCGCCGUGACACGAGAUCGGUAGCGGAUGGGUGACAAUAAGGAUUUCUUAACAUGAGGUUGUGAUGGAAUCGCUGCUGACCGAGAAUUGGUACCUGGAGGGAAACACUAUUUGUUGUGGUCGUUGUUGUUGUUGUCGUCGUUGUUGUUGUUGUUGUUGUUGUUGUUGGUCGAUUAUGUUGUUGUUGUUGGUGUUUUAAUUUCGUUUUAGUUUUAGUUAUGAAUUGUAAUGUUUUAAUUAUACUUUUGUCUUAUUUAGUUAAGAAAUAAAUGGUUUAGUUGAUUUGUUCUCCAAUUAAGUCAACUAUUGUUCAGUUAAAAUUUAUUUGCUUUUAAUUAAGAA